rnacentral:rRNA from 1 species
UGGGGAAUAUUGCGCAAUGGGCGAAAGCCUGACGCAGCAACGCCGCGUGGGGGAUGAAGGUUUUCGGAUUGUAAACCCCUUUCGAUCGGAACGAAUCUCCUCCUGGUAAACAAUCAGGAGGAUCGACGGUACCGAGAGAAGAAGCCACGGCUAACUCUGUGCCAGCAGCCGCGGUAAGACAGAGGUGGCUAGCGUUGUUCGGAUUUAUGGGCGUAAAGCGAACGCAGGUGGUUUGGUAAGUCAGGGGUGAAAGUCCGCAGCUUAACUGCGGCACUGCCUCUGAUACUGCCUUUCUUGAGUGCAUGAGGGGGAAGCGGAAUUCCGAGUGUAGAGGUGAAAUUCGUAGAUAUUCGGAGGAACACCGGUGGCGAAGGCGGCUUCCUGGCAUGUAACUGACACUCAUGUUCGAAAGCGUGGGUAGCAAACAGGAUUAGAUACCCUGGUAGUCCACGCCCUAAACGAUGGGCACUAGGUGUGGGAGGUAUCGACCCCUUCCGU